UGUUAUAAAAAUGUAAAUAAAAUAUAAUAAAGUAGUAUUAGAUUUAUUCUUAAAAUUUAAAAUAUUUGGCGGUAUUUUAUUCUAUUUAGAGGAAUUUGUUUAUUAAUUGAUAAUCCUCAUUAUAUCUUACUUAAUUUAUUAAUUUGUAUAUCGUUGUCAAAAGAAUUUUUUUAAAAAAUUAAUAAUUUUCUAAUUUUAUAAUUAUAAGUUAUGUCAAAUCAAGGUACAGUUUAUAGUUAAGAAUAAAUGAAUUACAAUAAAUUUAUUUAAUUACAGUUUAUAAAUUGUAAUAUUUAUAUUAAGGUGGAUUUAAAAGUAAAAUUAAAAAUUAAAUUAAUUUGAUAUUAGUUUUAAAAUAUGUACAAAUCGCCCG
rnacentral:rRNA from 1 species